rnacentral:rRNA from 1 species
GACGAACGCUGGCGGCGUGCUUAACACAUGCAAGUCGAGCGGAAAGGCCCUUCGGGGUACUCGAGCGGCGAACGGGUGAGUAACACGUGAGUAACCUGCCCCUGACUCUGGGAUAAGCCCGGGAAACUGGGUCUAAUACCGGAUACGACCGCCCCAGGCAUCUGGUGGUGGUGGAAAGUUUUUUCGGUUGGGGAUGGACUCGCGGCCUAUCAGCUUGUUGGUGGGGUAAUGGCCUACCAAGGCGACGACGGGUAGCCGGCCUGAGAGGGCGACCGGCCACACUGGGACUGAGACACGGCCCAGACUCCUACGGGAGGCAGCAGUGGGGAAUAUUGCGCAAUGGGCGAAAGCCUGACGCAGCGACGCCGCGUGGGGGAUGACGGCCUUCGGGUUGUAAACCUCUUUCAGCAGGGACGAAGUUGACGUGUACCUGCAGAAGAAGCGCCGGCUAACUACGUGCCAGCAGCCGCGGUAAUACGUAGGGCGCAAGCGUUGUCCGGAAUUAUUGGGCGUAAAGAGCUCGUAGGUGGCUGGUCGCGUCUGCCGUGAAAGCCCGCAGCUUAACUGCGGGUCUGCGGUGGAUACGGGCCGGCUAGAGGUAGGUAGGGGCAAGUGGAAUUCCUGGUGUAGCGGUGAAAUGCGCAGAUAUCAGGAGGAACACCGGUGGCGAAGGCGGCUUGCUGGGCCUUACCUGACGCUGAGGAGCGAAAGCGUGGGGAGCGAACAGGAUUAGAUACCCUGGUAGUCCACGCUGUAAACGUUGGGCGCUAGGUGUGGGGAUCUUCCACGAUCUCCGUGCCGGAGCUAACGCAUUAAGCGCCCCGCCUGGGGAGUACGGCCGCAAGGCUAAAACUCAAAGGAAUUGACGGGGGCCCGCACAAGCGGCGGAGCAUGUUGCUUAAUUCGACGCAACGCGAAGAACCUUACCAAGGUUUGACAUCACCCGGAAACGUGCAGAGAUGUGCGCCUCUUCGGACUGGGUGACAGGUGGUGCAUGGCUGUCGUCAGCUCGUGUCGUGAGAUGUUGGGUUAAGUCCCGCAACGAGCGCAACCCUUGUUCCAUGUUGCCAGCAACCUCUUCGGAGGGUUGGGGACUCAUGGGAGACUGCCGGGGUCAACUCGGAGGAAGGUGGGGAUGACGUCAAGUCAUCAUGCCCCUUAUGUCCAGGGCUACACACGUGCUACAAUGGGCGGUACAAAGGGCAGCGAUACCGCGAGGUGGAGCGAAUCCCAAAAAGCCGGUCUUGGUUCGGAUUGGAGGCUGAAACUCGCCUCCAUGAAGUCGGAGUUGCUAGUAAUCCCGGAUCAGCAACGCCGGGGUGAAUACGUUCCCGGGCCUUGUACACACCGCCCGUCACACCACGAAAGCGGGCAACACCCGAAGCCGGUGACCCAACCUUAGGGAGGGAGCCGUCGAAGGUGGGGCUCGUGAUUGGGGUGAAGUCGUAACAAGGUAGCCGUACCGGAAGG